rnacentral:misc_RNA from 1 species
CGACCGGAAGCAGCCAUCUUAGGCUCAGCUGAGGCACUAGUGACCCUCCCGUCUGUCGCUCCUCCCGUCUCUCUCGCUCCUCCCGUCCUCGCCACGCCACCAUGACUCCCUAGUGCCACCCGUCACACUCCUCCUGGCAUGAAGUGGCUCCAGUUAGGUGCGAUUCGGGUGUGAAAUUUGGGGUGACAGGAGAGGCUGAAAAGUGGUGGGACGGCACCCCCAUCAUCAUCCCUGCCCCCCCUGUCUUGACCACGAAUGAGAGUCCGUCCUGUCUGAUUGACGGUCAAGCGAUCGCUAUGGGACCUGUCAAUCUAUGAGUGCCGCCAAACGUUGCCUCUCGGUUGUCUGAGAUUCGCGGGCAAGAUGAAGAAGCUGUUUCAGAGGAUAGACCAGUCAAACAAGGACCAGAGCCACACCAGCUUCCUGGGCAAGGUGUUCGUGGUGGGGCGCCACACUGUCACCGUCGAGGAGGUCAUAGCUGAGGGAGGGUUUGCCUUAGUAUUCUUGGUCAAGGGCAGUGGAGGAGUUCGAUUUGCACUCAAGCGCCUGUAUGUCAACAACGAACAUGACCUGGAGGUGGCCCGCAAUGAAAUCAACAUUGCUAAAAUGCUUAACGGUCCAAGAACUGUCGUGGGCUAUGUUGACUCUGGUGUCACGCACAUUGGAAGUGGUGUCUACGAAGUUCUUCUCCUUAUGACGUACUGUAGAAAACAUCUCCUCCACCUAAUGAAUGAUAGGAUCAACUCAGGCUUGACUGAGGCAGAGGUCCUCAAAAUUUUCUGUGAUGUUUGUGAUUCAGUGUCGAGGCUGCAUCACGUCAACCCCCCAAUCAUCCAUAGAGAUUUAAAGGUUGAAAAUAUCCUAAUUAGUAGUGAAGGUAACUAUGUUUUGUGUGACUUUGGUUCUGCCACGGCGCGGGUGUUAUGUGGCACUACUGAUGGCAUAUCGAGAGUCGAGGAGGAAAUUCAGCGGUACACAACCCUGGCGUACCGUGCUCCAGAGAUGAUCGACUUGUACCUUGGCCGGCCCAUUACCACGAAGUCAGAUAUAUGGGCCUUGGGAUGCAUGUUAUACAAGCUUUGUUUUUUUACAUUACCAUUUGCCGAGAGUCCGCUGGCUAUCUCUUCAGGGAACUUCACUAUUCCGGAUAAUGCCAGAUUCUCCAAACACUUACAAGCACUUAUACGCUACAUGUUGGACCCAGACCCCGAUACACGGCCGGACAUCUACCAGGUUGCCAGUCUGACUUUUAAGCUGGCUGGGAGAGAGUGUCCCGUAAGAAAUGUCAAUAAUGUGACCGUGCCAUCUCUGGACCAUCUGUGUCAAGUUGUGAGUGAGAGAGAGCAGCAGUCAUCAGUGAAGUUGAACCGUAUAGCUCCUGGACCUGUGAUAGAGAGUACUUCGGUUGCUCCCCGGCAACGACCAAAGGCUUCUCAACACCCACCUUCCCUUACUGCUACUGCAGGUGCUCUUCCAUUGGGUUUACCACUUCAGAACACACAAGCCUUGAAGAGAAAUCUUGCUGUAUCAGUAAGUGAAAGUGGUAACACCCAACAGCAGACUCAGCCUCAGCACCUGUUAACACAGCAGCAACAGCAGCCCCAGCAGCAGCCCCAGCAGCAACAGCUUCAGCAACACAGUCAGGCACAGCAACAGCCAUCUCAAUCUGUAGUUGAAUUGAGUCCCACCAAUGCUUUCCCGCCUGCUGCUUUAUUUGGGUCUGAUACUUUCCCUCCUGCGCAGCAGUCAUUCCCUACUAGUCAGUUUGGGUCAUCAGCAGGAGGCGGGAGUACGGCAGCGGGCACAGGCAGCACUCACCCAGCUGGUCUGAGCACUCAGCCAGGCUCAGGAUCAAUGGAAGCAUUUUUCCCACCCUCAGGCUAUCCAGAUCCAUUUCGGGAAGGUGACGCCGAGUUGGCAGCAUGUGGAACCCACUCCAUGAGCGGCAGUGUUGAGGGCUUAUUCUUGCCCCCUGCAGGCAGCAUCGGCAGCGGACCCCAAAGUCUGUCCCUGAGCCAGGGGUCCAUUGGAGGUGGUGUCGGGGCACUACCAGCGACUACUGGCUUGGGUCCUGGAGGACUGGGUACUACAGGUGGGCUAGUGAAGUAUGAGAGUGACACCACUAGCCUCAGCCACCAUCACCAGCAUCAUCUUCCUGCUCAAAUCUCUCCCACGCUUCCUCAACACCCACGGGUACAUAGACGGAAUGUUUCCGAUACUUCAGCUUUCAACAAGACAUUUGCUAAUGAGACAACACAGUUCCUUGCCCCCUUCGAGGCUUCAGUCAGGACUACAGAAAGAGAAAGUGGACCAACGAGCAUCCUGCAGUCCGAGGAUGGAUCACAGGAGGGCCUAGUCACCUCAGAAGUGAGCUUGGCUGCUGCUGAAGUUCGUACAUGGAAUCCUUUCAAUGACACAACUCCCUUCAGUCAAAUGUCCGAGGAUCACAUCUUCGGGGCAGAGUUCGACAAAAUUCGAAGAGGAUCUCAGAGUAGCAUAUCAAAUGUGAAAAGUCGAGAGAGUUUAGUGAUGUCAACUGAAGACGAUCCAUUUGGCGCUGCCCCAUUUAAUGCCCCCGAAAUAGGGUGGUUCAGGCGCAGAGCUGCUCCUCGUCCUACUCGCUCGUGUCCUCAACUUGCAUUCAGUUCCCGCCGGACAAAAAUAUCUUCCAAAGGUGGAAAUGAAUUGCAGAUGAACAGCAGUGAAGAUAUCGUUGCCACUCCGAGCGAUGCCACAACUGGAGGAGAUUCAACAAUAACUGUGCUUCCACUUGUGUGUGAGCAGAGUCGUCGUUCCAGUGAGUCGUCUCAGGACUCCCAAGACUCUCAGGAUGCGGCAGCUGACCAGACGGCAGUUGGACCUUCCUCAUUACCAUUUACACGGCCGCCUCUUGAAGACAGAUCUAAAUAUGAGAAGCUGCAAAACACCCACGAUGAGGAGAGCGAAGAGGAAGGCGAGGGUGAUGGGAUUGGCCGGAGUAAAGAUCAGCAACAGACACAACAGAUAUUGAAGGAAACAGCAGAUACCAAGCAAAAGAGACAUCGCCGUGAGAGAAAAAAUAGAGGGAAGAGUAGGAAGGAAGAAGGUGAACCCGGUGGAGUGACAAAGGAUGGUAAACCCGACGGUGUCUUCAUCUGUAGUGUGUCUGACGAUGACUCGAUAGGCUCAGCAAGUGAUUUGAAAGCAAGGAUUAAUGAUGAAUAUGAUUAUGAUAACUGUGACCGAGGUGACAUCUCUGAAACCAUAAGUUCAUCGGUGUACCACGCAGAGUGUGAGAGUGUCACAACUCACGAGGAUGAUCCACAGACUGCCGAGAACUGCGACCCUACCCAGUUAAUACGACGUGGACCAAAGCCAAGUAAGGCAGCCAUGCGGGCCCGUGCUCGAGCUCUACAAGAACAGGAGAACAAAAAAUGUGCUCAGGACAGGCUAUUAGGGCACGAGUACGGAGAAAAACCUCUCCUUCAAGACGAUGAACUGGAUUCUGGCGAGGAGGAAAAUAAGCUCUCUGAUGACCAAGAAGAUCCACAUGUAGAGCCACAGCCCUCCCAACAGCCAGACCAACUGACAGUCCGCUCCAAUAUUUUCCAUGUUCCAAGGCCAUUUAGGAAAACUUCACUGGAUGAAUCUCAGAAGCAGCGGGAAUAUGUGGCUGAUGAAGAUGUCUUUGCCUUAGCUCCUUUCAAAACUUCACUGAAGAAGUUGAAUAAAAAAGUCUUUCAGAGCCGUAGUCAGCCAUCAAGCAACACCGUAUCCCCGUUAGAAUCCUCAAGCCAACCAAUUAUAACGCCUCCCAUGGCAAACAAUUCCCCAGCUCCUGUUCAUUUAGGCAGUCCAGAAAUGUUGGAGCAAGUUGUUGAACCUGUUAGAAUACCUGUUCAAGCUGAUAUCAUAUAUGAAGAGUCACCAAGUGAGGAGUUUCCUAUAUAUGAAAAUGUUGUAUUGAAUCCAAGUGGCAGUAGUAUAGAAAAUGGUACAACUCCUCCAAAAUACCACCAUUAUGAGAAUGUUCCCGUUCCCUUCCAUGUAGCUGGAGUUGUUGAAUCCCCUUCACUUGUUACUCCUAUUCCCACUAAAAACCCGUUUGUUAAUCCUUUUGUCAAUGAGAAUCCAAUAGCAGUUGCCCAUCCACAAAUACAAGAUCCACCAGGGCUCUUAUCAAGUCAGUCUGGAAGGUCACCAGCUGUGACAGAACAGACUUUGCCCAGUGCACCACGUAAAAUUCCUCAACCGAAUCAAGGUGCAAUGUCUCAAAGUUUAGAUUCCCUCACUCCAAACUCUGCUGCAGGAUCUGUUAAUUCUCCCUCCUUUCAGAGUACAGAUCUAUUUGGAUCCACACCCUUCAGUGAUGUUACAAUAUCAACAACUCCAUCCAAUGAUACCAAAGAAUUUUCAUCCCACAGUCAAACAGUCUUAAAUGGUGUUUCAAAGUUUGCAAGUUCCAGUCAAUCGCAAUAUUUCAACCAGUCAGAUGUAACCUCUCAUAUUCCCAUGCAUACUUCCACUCCACGCUCUGUCAAAAUCCAUUCUCUUUCUCGAGGGAAAGAGAUGAAUUUGGCCGACUUGGAUGAUGCUGAUUUAUUUGGUGCUGUACCUUUUAAACCAGUUAUAGGUCAUCAACAACGAACAGGCCAAAUACCAGGUGGGAAAAGCCAGACAUUACCAGCUAACAUGAGUUCGUCUCUUCAAGCACAAAUGGCUCUGAUGGCACAUGAUGAUGGCCAUGUGGAAAAGUUUUUUGGUGAUUUCAGAGUUUCCAAAGGACUGAAGAAAUCAACACCCCCUAGUUUCCGCAAACCCAGGGCUACACACCAAAAACUCUCUGAUUCUGACACCUCCAGUGAUGAAGGAGCUGUGACAACCAGUAGAAAACCUCGACAUAGGGAUCGCAGUAAAGACAGAUUAAAAUAUAAAAACAUUAGUGAAGAAUUUGAAGAAGAAAAUAUGAUGGUUCUCCCAAUGAAACAAUUUGGGCAUUCUAAGAAAGAAAAAAUUAGCAAGAAAAGCAAAAAACUUGAGAAAUUAGAAAAGAAAGUUGAUAAACCAGAGAAAAAUCAAAGUUUUGAAUCUGCUGGAAUUUCUAACAUGAGUUUUGAAGACUUUACCUUGGAGGAUAGCCGACGGGAAAUAGAGAGAGUUCGCCGCGAGUUAGAAAGGAACAGACAAGAGACUGAUAGAGGUGGAGAUUCCCUUCAAAGUCCUGAGGAAGAUGAUUCAGAUCUGAGAACCACUGGGGGCACUCGUUUCGGCUCAUUGAAGCGAGGCAUGAACCCUUUCUCUAAAUUAGGACGCUAAGAGUAAUUUUGGUGAUUAAUAAUUUAUCUUCCUAAGUCCACUGAUUUGAAGGAAUAAUGUGUCUCAUACUAUGGUAAAUAAUUUAUAGUAAAUGUUCUGAAAUAUAUAUAAAUGAACCUAACUCUCAAUUCAGGUGAAUACACUGUUGGCAUAAUUCAGCAUCAUAAUACUGUAAUCUUUGAAGUAAAAUAAGAAGAAUUUUGAUACAAAGGAUUUGCUUUUAUAACUUUAAAUUAUUCAUUUUUAGUUCUCUACAAUGGUGUUGGUUAUUGGAGAAUGAGCUGACCAUUGUUAGAUUUUGUGAAGUCCAAUAGUGCUUGACAUCACCACCACCAAUACUGGUAGAACAAUACUGCAUAUCAGAUUUUUAUAUGAAGCUUAAUCGUAAUAUGGAUGUGUUAUAGUGAUGCUUCCCCUCAGUCUCUAGUUAUCUAUUAUUUUGGGUUUGUGCCACCAGCAGAUGAUAAUGUGUUCAUGGAUAGACUGGUGUAACUGAAACAAACCUCUAGAAACACAAAUGCUGAAAUGUUAUCAAACAGUAUUAUUGAAUGAAAAUGUUACUGCAAAAGGUGUAUAACCAUUAGCAGUGAUGCAUAAGAAGCCCAGACUGGCAAUUUUAGCCAAUAUCUACGAAUCUAACGAGUUCAGUGCCACCAAAACUCAAAGGCACAACUCUACAAUGCCAAGAGAAGCUGAGGUUUUCUUGACAUUCAUUGUGAGCUGUUGUUUAUUCAUUUGUGGAACAAUUUUAGUGCAUUGAUAUUAAUUUUGCCAAAUAGUUCCAUGUGACAAGCAUUUUGAUGCUUGACGUGGACUGCUGACCAAUGCAUGUGUGAUCAUAUUAUAUUGUGCCCUGUUGACUGGUGAACGCAUGAGCAUAUUGUACCCUGUUGACUAGGGAAUGCAUGAGCAUAUUGUGCCCUGAUGACUGAUGAAUGCAUGAGCAUAUUGUGCCCUGAUGACUGAUGAAUGCAUGAGCAUAUUGUGCCCCUGUUAACUGAUGAAUGCAUGAGCAUAUAUAUUGGUGCCCUGUUGACUGGUGAAUGCAUGAGCAUAUUGUGCCCUGUUGACUGAUGCAUGCAUGAGUAUUGCACUGCAUCCUGCAGUACAAUUAUCUUUUUCUCAUAAAGAAGGUACAAUAUUUCAUAUAGUUUAUGUAGAUUGGUAGACUGUUUCCUCUUUUCAGGCUGUCCAGCUAGGUGAGCUUUGAACUAUCAUCAUGUACUCUUUAUAUCUCAACUGUUGUAUCAACAAAAAUAUAAUUUGUAUAAUAAUGAAACAAUUCAGUAAUAUGGUUUUAUGUAGCAGGAAUCAGAUUAGUAUGUCACCUCUUAGUAUUUUAUAUAAUAAUAUUAUGUUGAUUUAAAGAAUGUAUGGAAAUUGGUAUUAAUACUUUUAUAUAGAAAAUUGUAUUUAACUUAAUUGUUAAUAGACUCUUGACCAUUGUUGCAGACUGUAUGCAAACUGGACAAGUCUCUUCUCUUGGGUAGCUUCUUAACCCUUGUAAAUUCCAGCUUCUAUUUUUGCAAUUGUCACUUUUAUUAAUGUUUCAUUUGUAAUAUUUAGAUUAGAACUUUGAUGCAUUAUUGAUUUUGAGUCCGUCUCUCGAAAUAGUCCGAGUUAUUGUCGGUUUAAAUAGGAAAUGCUGCAGUACAUUGAUCAAAUAUAUUUUAAUAGGUGAUAAGAGUGCAGUAAAUUAUGGCAGGGGCAUCACCAUAGCAGUGGGACAUCUCUAUUCCAGUGGCACAUCUCUAUUCCAGUGGCACAUCUCUAUUCCAGUGGCACAUCUCCAUAGCGGUGGGACAUCACAAGAGUAGAACAGUUGAAGGCCACGGGGCUAACAACACUGCAAACCAGGCAUUACAGGGCGGAUCUCAAUGAAAACAUUUCAAAUACUAAACCAGUUAGAGGAUGUUGAUCCAGACAAUUUCUUCAAAAAGGUCAGAUGUAAUAAACCCAUGGAACGCAUGGAUCAGAUGUUAUAAACCCAUGGAACCGCCUACCCACCAAAGCCGUAAGUGAGAAAAUCGUGUUAAGUUUUUAAAUCUACCUGGAAAAGAUCAUCAAGGCAAAUGGGGGGGACCUUUGACAAGCCACGACUUCCUUUCCUCGUCGAGGCUGCUAGUAGCUUGCAUGUUUUAGAAUGCAACUCACAAACUCUUGUUAUAUAAAUACAGAAUUACAGAUUCCUGAGCAUUAAUUUACGUAUUAUGGUGGUCAUUAUCUUUGAACAUGCAGUGUUAGUGCAGAAUUACAGCACUGUACUCAUAAAACCAUAGGAAAUAUUUGACAAUAUUCUGCAUUGUGAAAUGAUUUGAGACUAUUUUUCUUAAUGAAUAACCCCCUAGGAAAGAGAUGGUCAGUGCCAAUGUACAGUGCUUUAAGGAAUCCUGUUCUAUACAGGGAGGGUAUUGUCCUUCAGGACGAGGAUCUUGUCCUAUGAGAGGAGGAUCUUGCCUUACACAAGGAGGAUCUUGUCCUGCACAAGGAGAGCCUUGCCUUACACAAGGAGGAUCUUGUCCUGCACAAGGAGAGCCUUGCCUUACACAAGGAGGAUCUUGUCCUACACAAGGAGAGCCUUGCCUUACACAAGGAGAGCCUUGCCUUACACAAGGAGGAUCUUGUCCUACACAAGGAGAGCCUUGCCUUACACAAGGAGGGUCUUGUCCAAUACAAGGCGAUUCUUGUCCUACACAAGGAGGAUCUUGUCCUACAUUAAGAGGAUUGCCCUACAUAAGGAGGAUUAUCCUACAUAAGGGGAAUCCUGUCCUACACAUGGAGGGUCUUUUCCUACACAAGGGAAAUCGCUGUCCUACAUAAAGAGGAUCUCAUCUUAAAUGAGGAGAACCUUUGUCCUGCACAAGGAGGGUCUUGUCCUACACAAGGAGAACCUUGUCCUAUACAAAGAGGCUCUUGUCCUACACAAGGAGAACCUUGUCCUAUACAAGGAGGAUCUUGUCCUACACAUGGAGAACCUUGUCCUAUACAAAGAGGCUCUUGUCCUACACAAGGAGAACCUUGUCCUAUACAAAGAGGCUCUUGUCCUACACAAGGAGAACCUUGUCCUAUACAAAGAGGCUCUUGUCCUACACAAGGAGAACCUUGUCCUAUACAAAGAGGCUCUUGUCCUACACAUGGAGGAUCUUGUCCUACACAAUUAGAACCUUGUCCUACACAUGGAGGACCCAGUCCUGCACUAGGUAGAUCUUGUCAUUGUUCUGUUAAUUAUAAAAUGUCAUGAAAAUGGGGUCAGCAAUACUGCUUCUAGAGAUGACUGGUAUGUAUUUACCCAUAAUACGCAGAAAUCACAAUAGCGUGAUGCAUCAAAUAAACAAAUCCACAAGGGCCGUGAUGAGGGUUUGAACUUACAUCCGAGAGGAUCAAAGACAAGCCUUAAUCGACUGUGCCACAAUAUGGUAAAAGAAUUCUUUUACCAUAUUGUGACACAGAUGAUUAAGGCGCGUCUGGGAUCCUCUAGGACGUAGGUUCGAACCCUCAUCACGGCCCUUGUGGAUUUGUUUAUUUCCCCAUCAUUUUUAUUUAUGGUGUAGUCUCAAACACCAAGGACAAUGAUAAAGACUAAAAUUAUAAUGUAUAAGGUUGUAAAUGAGGAAAGUGGGUCACCUAUUGCAGUCUCUCCAAGUGUCAGCCAGAUUGGUUUGAAUUGUGGCACAAUCAGUUUUUUUGUGCAAUUUAAUUCUGAUUAAACCAUACUAACAGUUGUUUAUGUAAAUUUUUGUAUCAGUGGCAGCUGUCAAACUGUACCAUCCUUGGCUGUGUACGUUUCAUAUAAUGUAUGCAUCUGCUGUAUUUCUCGUUGGUUUAGGGUUACAACUUAAUGCAUGGGUUUCGAAUUUGUGCCUUUAUUAUUGCAACAUUUGACAUGUGCUAGGACGCAGUCAGAAUUGACAUUGAGGAGUUUGUGAGCCUGUUCUAGGGUGGUUCUGUCUGUAUGUUAGCUGCAUGAAUCACACAUUGGCACUUCUGAUUUGGUUAUCCUGAAAGAUUACAUGUUGUUUAAGACUCUAAUUUCAAUAGAAUGUAUUAGUUGGCAUUUUCAUUGACUGUGUUAUUAUAUGUUAUAGAACCUCUCUAGUUUUAAUUUGAUUUUAGCAUUAUUUAUUAUAUUAAUAGUGCACUACAGUGUACGAAUUAUCAGCGUAGUUUAAAAAACUAUUCAGCUAAUAUAUUUUCACAUCUUGGAAUAAUAGACUACAGUAUUGGUUUUCCAAUUUAGUGAUCAUAAAUGCUGUAUUUCCAGUUUUUUUGUGAUAAAUUAGAACUUUGCAUCAUUGUUAGGUAUAAGUUUUCAAAGUCAGAAAUUUAAAUAUUUUCCUAUUCUCAUUUCCAUAACUUAUGUAUAAAUGCUUUAAUGUUGACUAUGUCUUUACACAAUGAAUUUAUAUGUUCCACUUAUUAUAAUUUCUAUGUUCAAUGAUUUGUUAUACUGUGUAAUAUAUUGUUGAAAUCCUACAAUGCACCUACUGAAUUUGAUAUAUAUGUAGAUAAUUAUAAUUUCAUUACAAAAUGUAUAAUAAUAGGCUCGAGCAUUAACUUGUGGCCCUUACAGCCCGUGAGGACUAUGUCUCUAGUAAGACUGACUGACUUACUGUAGCUGCCACACUUCUUGGACCCCACUUUAGCUCUUGCAGAUUGUUAUUUUAUUUGAUAGGGUCUGGGUAGUACUAUUGGGUUCAUUCUUGACUCAAUUGGUAAUCCAGGGUUCAAAUCCUGAGUGGGACAGAAAUGGUUGGUCACAUUGGGGCAGAAAUGGUUGGCCACGUUAGGACAGAAAUGGUUGACCACGUUAGGACAGAAAUGGUUGACCACGUUGGGACAGAAAUGGACAGCCAAAAUAUAUUAUUAUUAUUUAUCAGGCUUCGACAGUUCCCUCAACCUUCCUCCAGUCUCGUCUUCCCAGUCUACUGGAACUGCUGUCUUUCGGUACUGUAUAUUGAAUAAAUGGGAUCGUGUUUAACUGCAUUGGUUUAUAUUGUUCUGUUGCUCUAAUGCACACAAGGCAACAUUAUCUGUUUUUUCUAGGAUUUUUGAAGCAGUUUCAUUGUAAAUAGGAAACGUUAAACUUACCGCUAGAUAGUUUCUGCAUAAUACAUACUCAUGAGUCACGUGAUCUUCUUAAUCUUCCCGUUAAGUACAAGGCUUCCAUCAUUCAUUAUACUUUUUAGGACCUGAUAAAAGUGUCAUAGUGACAGGUGUUGGCUUAAAUGACACACAUGAAUUUUUGUUUGACUAAAUGUUACUUGUAACAGGUGUUUGGCUAAAUGUUACUUGUAAACAAGUGGUUUUUUUUUCUAAAUGUUACAUCUAAGCAGUUAUUUGUCUGUAUGAUUCAGUUAUUCAGUUAAAUGGCCCAAGUUCUUUAUCUUUAUUCAUGUAAAAGUGAUGCAAAUUUAUUUUUGUCUGAUAUCUUCCAGGCAGACGAACCUGACCUUUUGUAAUUCUGAAAAACAGAAAGAGAACAUUAAAAGUUCUAAGGUUUGCACCACACUGCCAUUUUCCUUAAGGCUGGACAUGUGCUUGUAGCCAUGAUUAUGAAGAUUUUGUCCUAAAGGGUUAUCCCCAUUCAAUUUCGUGAUAUGGUUAAUGUUUCCUUUCUCCAUGAUAACCCUGUUCCAUUUCUUGAGAUGGUUACUGUUCCUUUGCUUGUUCAAGCUGCUAUCUUGUUAAAGCUCCAAGGUACUGAGAUUGUUUGCACUCUACAUUAUUUAGUUAUAGUGGCAUAUCUUGGUUUUAAAAUAUUGGACCGGUUCCCCAACACAAUAUUGGAGUUUAGUGAACACUAUUUUGCUGCUGUGACAUUAGUUACAUAUGAUUACAUAAUUUCUAUAACUCUACCAGCAUAAAACACACGUGAUUAGUUGAAAAAUGUGAUGCACUCUAUUGUAUGAUUAUGUAUGCAGAACAACAAUUGUAUAAUUAUGUAUGCGGAACAACAGUUGUAUAAUUACAUAUGCAGAACAAUAAUUAUAUAAUUAUGUAUGUGAAAUAGUAAUUGUAUGAUUAUUUAUGCAGAGCUAAUUGUAUAAUUAUGUAUAUGGAGCAGUAAUUGUAUAGUUAAGUAUACAGAACGUUAAUUGUAUGAUUAUGUAUACGUAAUGGUGAUUGUAUGACUAUAUGAAACUGUAAUUGUAAGAUUAUGUAUACGGAACAGUAAUUAUAUAUUUAUGCAUGCAGAACAGUAAUUGUAUAAUUAUGUAAUUGUGUCAUUUUGUAUGCAGACUAGUAAUUGUACAGUUCUAUAGUCUAUUUAGGUACUGGCAUGUGAUCCUGUUCAGAAAUGACAUACUGUACUGUAAAUAAUAACAAUUGAUAAUCCAUUUACUUCCAUGUGUGAGCACAGAAAGUGUCCUGUAGUGAGUCUUAUAAGGUUUUAUUAGUGAUCAGGAAAGGUGUGUUUAGUACAAGCUGUAUCUGUUUAAGGUAAAAAAUGGCAACUAUGAGGUAGAAAUGUGAUUUGCUGUAAUUAACAAGCUGACCACAUGAACCCCUUCUAAUUAUGCUUUUGAUGGGCAUUGUCUCUGCAGUAAGCUGUAAUCCUGUUUGUUUUGGAGAAUGGUAUACAGUAUUCUGUAUGGACUCGUCACCUAUAAGCAUUAUAUACUUUGUAAUAGGGGGAAUAUACAAAAAGUUUAGUGUGUGAUACUCUUUUUGAAUAAUUGAAAAUUAAAUAGCUUUCUAAUCUGUCAAAGGACCUUUGUUUUGUGAUAGAUAAUAUGAUCAUUUAAAUACUUAGGGAACACUUUGUAAUAAUUUAUUAAUAUUGAGUAACUGUGGUUACAUUCUCUUUCUCUCUUGCCCUCAUCAUCAGUCGUCAUCUCUCUCAUCGUCAUUCACCAUCGUCAUUUCUUGCUCUCAUCAUUUCUUACCCUUAUCGUAUAUCAUCUGUUUCUUUCAUCAGUACAGUAUCUCACUCUGAGAACUGUUGCCUUCCAUAAUAUGUACUGUGGUGUAUUGCUUCAGCUUACAGUGGGUGAGGAAGGGUUACUUUCCUUAUUGUAGAAUAAGGGAUAUAGUCCUUAAGAAAACUCGGACUCCUGCUCAAAGUUGUGGAUCGUGGAUUUUUCUGGCUACUACUGUUGGUUAAUAUUAAUGUGUUGAUAUUGUUGAUGAAUUUGCCUUAAUAGUCUAUUAAAAAAAAGGUAACAAGUUCAUAGUAUUUAUCUUGUAUUUAUGUAUAUAUUAAAAUGCAAAUUAAACUUGCUAUGAGCAUUAUUGAAGUUUAUUUUCAACACUGCAAUUAAUAUGCAGGAGUUCUUCAUAGUUAGCCAGGGGGUUUCUCGCACAAAAAGUAACGGGGACUGGGCACUGCGUUGCCCUUCGUAAAAAUUAUAUACUGUACUACACUUCCUGGUGGUGGGCCCUGAAGCCUUAACUUGAUAAUAGCUGCAAUAAUUACAAUCAUAUGUACAUAAA